CAUAUCACUCUGUCCUUAAAUCCAGGAGCUGGUACUACUGUUCAGCUCACACCAGUCGAUAGAUCUAGAUAUUGUUUCGGAUCAUUAUUCCUUAUUUUUUUUAUUUACGCCUAAUUUUUGAAUGAUAUUUAUUUAUUUCAUUCCUGGAUCAGAUCAAAUGAUCUAAAAAUCAAUGUUGUUCACCUCGGGAUUUUGGGUCUAGACAAACUAUGAACACACCAACAGAUCUCAAUAUUAGAAGCCGUAGGAUCAAUACGCUGUUUAACAGGAAGCUGUGUGAGCACAUCCUGAGAUAGAGAGAUGAGAAUCGGUUACCUCCUGACCUACUACACAGUCUUCUGUCUAAUGAUCAUUGUUUAUGGUAAUUACAGCGUCGUCGUUGAAGAGCACAGGCCAUACACAUUUGAAUGCGAGAUUGAAAGAGACAGCCUCGUUUGGAGCAUCGCCGCUAAGAAUGUCACGCAGAGUGUCGCCACCUGUCUCCCAGAAUGGAAUGUAGUUCAAUGCUCCUUGACCACUGAAGACUUUG
rnacentral:sRNA from 1 species